GGGGGUGUGGCUCAGUGGUAGAGCACUUGCCUAGCAUUUAAGAAACCCUGGGUUCCAUCCUAGCCCUG
rnacentral:tRNA from 1 species